UCUUAUCACCUUCAUCAUUCAUUCCCUUAAGAGAAAAAGACUCCAAACCCUCACCUCCUUUCAAGUAUUGCCGAUCAUCACCAUCUCAAUCUAAUCUCAUCAUUUCUCAUUGGAAUUCACCAAUUUUUGAUGCAAAAUGAUCAUGAUAUGGUGGGUAAGCAAGGUAUAAAUCAAUGAAUUAGAGCUUGAAGGAUGAAGAUUUGAUGAUGGAAACUUGACAUAGGGAUUCGGCCGAAUGGUUCCUCCAUCAUGCUCAAGAAAAAUGAAGGACCUCUUGUCGCCAUGAUUAAAAAAUCGAAAUCGGGGAUCAGAUCCGCGACGCAACAACAAUUUUUGAUUUUUUUUUUCUGUCAAACUGAUGAAAAAAACGAUGAACGAAGGCGGUUUGAGUUGAACAAAGAAAGCAGCCGUUGGAGUGGGACAAAGAUAGGCGAACGAUGAACGAAAGCGAACGAUGAAUGAAGGCGAGGUGGCUGGCAGCUGUUGUCUUUUUUAUUGUAAUUGGGAUAUUAGCAAUGAUGUAAAAAUAAUUAAGGUUAACUAUAUGUUUUCUAAUGGUUAAUUAAUAGUUAACUAACUUUGUAUGAUUUUUUUAUAUAAAACAUGAAUAUAUAUUGAUAAUUACUUUU